rnacentral:misc_RNA from 1 species
AACGCACAUUGCGCCCCUUGGUAUUCCAUGGGGCAUGCCUGUUCGAGCGUCAUUUGUACCCUCAAGCUUUGCUUGGUGUUGGGCGUUUUGUCUUUUCUCUUGUGAUUAGACUCGCCUUAAAGUCAUUGGCAGCCAGUGUUUUUGGUAGUAAGCGCAGCACAUUUUGCGUCUUAGUCCUUAAAUGGCGGCAUCCAUAUAGCUACUUUUUCACUUUUGACCUCGGAUCAGGUAGGGAUACCCGCUGAACUUAA